CUGGUUCCAAAGGUUAGGUUUGCGAUUUUGUUGGUUUGUGAAGGAAAGUUUGGAUCUUUCGUGAAGGAAAGUUUGGGAUUCUAGGUGCUCUGCACCUCCUGUUUUGCAAGUCCCAUUUUGGCAGGCCGGAUGCCACCGGAACGCUGCAGCCAGGCGAGCAGAGGCUUGGCUUGGGGACCACAGGGCGGGCUCUCCAGCGACCUUUGGUCAAAAGUUUGGUCGACCAACACGGGAUACGAGCCUCCAUUGAUGAACUUCUCACUUCUUGGUUGUGAUUUUCAGAUUCGGUGUGCUCACAAUCACCUAUCCUCUCUAGCAAACACACAUGCGUGCCCUCUCCUUCUCGUUGGCUCCUCUGCGUGCAUGCAUGUGGAAUGUCGAAGGUGUUAACUUUUGCAGCAAGAGAUGUUAGGGCUGGGUUUCUGUUGUCGGCUCAUGUCCAUGUGAUCAGCUUCUGUCGUGGGGAUUUAUAAUCAGCUGAUUGUAAAGAGCAAAAGGCACCGGUUUCUUAUUCGAGAGCAAAUUUCAGGAGAAAUCCUACAAGGUUGUUACCAAGUUGAUCAAAUCAACAGCUCUGGCUACUUCGCAUGUUGGUGUGACUAUCAUGAACCAUUGAAUUUGCAUUCUUCAACUUCUCGGAAGGGCUUUAUAGAAGUUUUGGAACUCAGAAAACAAAUGGCAGUAUUGCCAUGUUAUUGGGUUGGGUUAGAGCAGUCGAGGCCCUAAAUGUGCACGACUAACUCCCCUUGCCUUCGCAAGCUCGGGAGAGUGGGAAUGGAGGUGCACUUGAGGCAGGAGGGGAAGUUGUGCUACUACUGGAGAUAUGGUCUAGCGGUCCAGAAAAGAAGAUGCGAUGAGGCUGUGUAAUUGAAUCAAGUAUAUUAGUAGCUAUGGAUUAGGUAU